CGCGAAGAACCUUACCAGGUCUUGACAUCUUCGGACCGCCCUAGAGAUAGGGUCUUCCCUUCGGGGACCGAAUGACAGGUGGUGCAUGGUUGUCGUCAGCUCGUGUCGUGAGAUGUUGGGUUAAGUCCCGCAACGAGCGCAACCCUUGUCCUUAGUUGCCAGCAUUCAGUUGGGCACUCUAAGGAGGCUGCCGGUGACAAACCGGAGGAAGGUGGGGAUGACGUCAAAUCAUCAUGCCCCUUAUGACCUGGGCUACACACGUGCUACAAUGGAUGGUACAAAGGGCAGCGAAGCCGCGAGGUGGAGCAAAUCCCAUAAAGCCAUUCUCAGUUCGGAUUGUAGGCUGCAACUCGCCUACAUGAAGCCGGAAUCGCUAGUAAUCGCGGAUCAGAAUGCCGCGGUGAAUACGUUCCCGGGUCUUGUACACACC
rnacentral:rRNA from 1 species